GCCUCUUUAAUUCAGAUGGUUAGAAUGUCGGUUUCAUAAGCCGAAAACGCUAGUUCGAGUCUAGCAGGAGGCA
rnacentral:tRNA from 1 species